rnacentral:rRNA from 1 species
UGGGGAAUUUUGGACAAUGGGCGCAAGCCUGAUCCAGCCAUACCGCGUGAGUGAAGAAGGCCUUCGGGUUGUAAAGCUCUUUCAGACGGAAAGAAACGGUUACGGCUAAUACCCGUGACUAAUGACGGUACCGUAAGAAGAAGCACCGGCUAACUACGUGCCAGCAGCCGCGGUAAUACGUAGGGUGCGAGCGUUAAUCGGAAUUACUGGGCGUAAAGCGUGCGCAGGCGGUUUGGUAAGACAGAUGUGAAAUCCCCGGGCUUAACCUGGGAACUGCAUUUGUGACUGCCAGACUAGAGUGUAGCAGAGGGGGGUAGAAUUCCACGUGUAGCAGUGAAAUGCGUAGAUAUGUGGAGGAAUACCGAUGGCGAAGGCAGCCCCCUGGGCUAACACUGACGCUCAUGCACGAAAGCGUGGGGAGCAAACAGGAUUAGAUACCCCCGUAGUCCCUGAGCGGGCUGGCAAGGCGCAU